CCUGAAACAUGGCCAACAUGGGAUUAGAUCCUAUUGAAGGCAAGACCAUAUAUAUGAAUCCCAACCCAAGCCCAGGAUAUAAACAUGAUUGCUACAACAUAGUAGGUAAAAUCAUGUCAGAAAAAGAAGUCAAAUUCAAAAUGAUCAAGAACUCCAUCCUAAGAAUGUGAGGUAACCCAAAAGAUGUCUCUAUUUCAAAAGUUGCAAGAAACACUGUCCUAAUCAGCUUCAAAGACAGUCAAAAAGAAACGAAAUCUGGGUAUUCAUAGAUGUUACCAGCCUCUCCACACCGGCUUCUACUUGGGCAGAGGUGAGCUUCAGGAUUGCUAUUGCUUUAACUGCGGUAUCAUCGGUCACGAGAAAAAGAACUGCAAAAAUUUUAAAGCCAUCCAAACUGCGGUAUGAUGUAGGUUUAGGAACAAAAAUUUUAAAGCCAUCCAAACUGCGGUAUGAUGUAGGUUUAGGAACAACCGGAGCCAAACCGCUAACCAUGGAAGGAGGACAGGAGAAAGAUGAAGAAAAUUGAAACGAGACGAGGCGCGUGGGAACCAAGCGAAAGAGAGGGAGAGUUGUGACAACCACAGCUCAGAGGACAAUAGCAAAACCCGCUGGAUACAAUUAUACAAAGAAUUUCUGAAAUGGAAGUGACAUCCAGAAAAUUGAAAAUACAAGAAGCACGAGAUUUAGGUGGCGAUAAGAAAGAAACAAAAUAGAAUGCAAAUCCAUUGUUACAAGUUAAACCCCCUCGAGACAGCAAUCACAACAUCAUCAAUCACAUUGGAGCUAUUAUCCUUAGAAUUUUUUUCCUCAACUCAUUUCAUAAAAAAAGCAAACCUUAGCAGAGUCCUUCCUCCAUAAAAACCAAAUCCUAGCGAGAUUUUUUCUACAAAUUCAUGGAGGCCGCUUCGCCACCGAUUUGCAUGACCACCACGCUCCUUGUUUGCGUUCGUGUUCAUCAUCACAGCUCACCUCGAUUCACUGCGACUGCAUCUUCGCGACUCUGUUCGGAUCCUUCGCGUUGUGUGGUAAUGUCUGGCCUCUCUCCAUUUGAGCUCGGUUGCUCUCCCCAGCUCGAGUUGUGCUUUCUGUUCGUGUCGUCUCCCUCCUCACGUCUCCGCAAUAACCAUCAAAGCACAGAAUCUUUUUCAAGCACAAAAUCUUCUUCAGGUAAGGAUUUUAAACUGUUAGCGAUUUCUGUUAAAACGUGUGGUUUGACAUUGUUUAUAUUUGGAUUUUUAUUUUUAUUUUUUUUACUGAACUCUCUCUAUUUCUACUAGAAUAUGACAUGCUAAAUUGAAUAUGGCAUAUAUAUUUGUACAUGUUAUGGUGGAUUGAAUCAAAGGUUAUAAAACAGAAUUGUGUUUUUUUUACUGAUUCUAUUUUCAGUUACAUGAAAUUGAUAGACAUAUAUUCUGCUGAUUCUAUUUUUUUCUGUUUCAGGAAUAAUUAUUGUAUACUGUAAUGAUUUCAGUGAUAUUACAUAAGUGAACCAAAUUUGACAAUUUAGGACUAUGAAAGAACACUUAUUUAUUCACUUUCGCUAAGCGAGACAAAUUUGUUAGUAGUUCAUGUGUAUAAAUCAUGUCCAAGCUUACUGGAAAGACGAAUCAAUUUUACUUAUUCAUUUUUUCAAUUUUCACUUUUGUUUCAAUUGAUUAUGUGAGAUCAUUUCAAAUUUUCAACACAUGGAUAUCAGAAUAUGUACCAUAUGAAUCUCACCCACGUAUUCAUAUUCUUUUGGUUUUAGUGAUUAUCUUAGUUGUUGGAUUAUGUAGAAUCUUGGAUGGUUGAUAUGAUUUAAGUUAUUGUCAUCUGCUUGUUAUAGAUAAUAAUUUAAGAAUUUCUCUCCCAAUAUUGAUAAUUAGUGUGACUGUUUUACUUUCUGCUGAUUUGAGGAAUGAUCUAUGCUUUUUUUUGCUGCUAUUAAUUUACAUCUACAUUGGGAUGUACUUUUAUCAUAGUUUUCUUAUAUUAGAUAUAAAGUAUGCUUUUUCCAAAGUGCUUAUUAGUUAUUAAUUUGUAAAUGAAAAAUUAUUCUGCUUAUUAAUCUAUAGAGAAUGGAAGAGAAUUCUCGACCUAAUUCAAAGCAAACUAAGUAUCAAUGGAUGCCACACGAAAAUGCAAAACUAGUUGAGUAUUUGGUGGAGCUUGCAACUACUUCGUGAAAGUGUGACAAUGGCACGUUCAAAUCCGAUUAUAAAAAACAUUUGGAAAAAAGAAAAAAUGUUUCAUGAAAAGAUCCCUCAAUGUGAUCUUAAGGUAUAAUUUUUUAACAUAAUACUUGCUUUUUUCGUUUAUAAUUAUAUAGUUUGUUAAUUUACAAUAUAAAAAUGCCUUUUUGGAUGAAUUGAAUUUAGUCUUAGUAGUAAUAACUCUAAAUUGUUAUGCUAUUUAUAGGCUAAUCCACACAUUGAAUCAAGGGUGAAAUUGCUUAAAAGACAAUAUUUUGCAAUAGUUGAGAUAGAUGGGCACAGGAAUGGAUUUGGUUGGAACGACAAAGAUAAAAUGAUUGUAGUGGGACGACAAAUUUUCAAUGAAUGGAAGAGUGUAAAUUCUAAACAACUUUCUUAAUUCAAUUUUAUUUAUCUUAGCUUUUUAAUAUUUAUUACUUACUUUUUUUUUUUUAAUUUCAAUUCCAUCCUAAUGCUAAUGGCCUCUACAAUAAACCAUUUUCACAUUUUGAAGAGUUGGGAACAGCAUUUGGUAGAGAUAGGGCUCAAGUAGGCAAUGCAGAAAAUGUAACUCAAGCAGUUGCUACUAUAGAGGCUAAGCACCAAGCAAACUUGAAUGAUCGACAAGUGAAUGAAAACACCCAAGCAAAUUUGGAAGAGACUGAAAUUGAAUAUGAAACUGAUUUGUAAGCAAUUGACUCGAGUUCAUGUAGAUAAAUUCACUUAUUAUUGAUCUUAUUAUUGUGUACUUCCUUAAAUUUUGGAGUGAUUUUUCAUUAGUUCAAUAGUUACUGUUUGUUUUUUUAUUCUUCGUUAGUUUAAUAGUUACUGUUUUCUUGGUUCUUGAUUCACUUAUUCAUAUACUAUUCUUUACUUAUAGCACAAUUUUUUAUUUUAACGUUGUCCCCUUCACUCAAGCCUAAGGUUUUAAAUAUAGGGUGUUACACAAUUUCAUUGAUUGAAGAAAAAAAAAAAAAGAUUAGUUAGAGAUAUUAAAGGUGUUUCUACUUUAUAGCAAAUUCAUUUGAAAUGGUAGGAACACCUUUCAUAUCUCUAUUUGAUUUUUUUUUCAAUCAAUAAAAUUAUGUUACACCCUAUCUUUAAAACUUUAGGCUCGAGUGAGUGAGGGCAACUUUAAAAUAAAAAAUUGCUCUGUAAGGGAAGAAUAAUAUAUGAAUAUGUGACUCAAGAAUCAAGAAUAUAUUGAACUAAUGAAAUUCAAGAAAGUACACAAUAGUAGAGUCAACAAUAAGUGAAUUUAUAUACAUAAACUAGAGUCAAUUGUUUAGAAUUAGCUUCAUAUUUAAUUUUAGUCUCUUCCAAAUUUGAUUGGAUAUUUUUAUUCACUUGCCUCACUCAAGUUUGCUUUGCGCUCAGCCUCCAUAGUAGCAACUGCUUGAGUUACAUUUUCUACAUUGCUUCUUGAGCCCUAUCUCUACCAAAUGCUAUUUCUAACUCUUCAAAAUGUGAAAAUGGUUUAUUGUAGAGGCCAUUAACAUUAGGAUGGGACUGAAAUUAAAAGAAAAAUAAGCAAUAAAUAUUAAAAAGUUAAGAUAAAUAAAAUUGAAUUAAGAAAAGUUGUCUAGAAUUUAUGCUCUUCUAUUCAUUAAAAAUUUGUCGCUUCAUUACAAUCAUUUUAUCUUUAUCGUUUCAACCAAAUCCACUCCCAGCCGUGCCCAUCAUCUCAAUUAUUGCAAAAUAUUAUCUCUUAAGCAAUUUCACCCUUAUCCAAUGUGUGGAUUAGCCUAAACAUAGCAUAACAAUUUAGAAUUAUUACUUCUAAGACUAAAUUCAAUAAACCGAAUUUUCAUACAAUGGCCCCACAAUUCAUCCAAAAAGGCAUUUUUCUAUUGUAAAUUAACAAACUAUACAAUUAUAACACAACUAUACAAUUAUAAAUGAAAAAAA